GGCUAGGGAAACCACUCAUAUAUCUGGCGCCAUAAUCAGCCAGGAGUAUCGUAUUGGGAUUUUUGUACUUUUUAAUAUUGCAAAAUAAUUAAGCGCUUAUCCUUAAUAUUUGACGAGUGUCUAUCACAGACCACCAGGAAUGCUAACUAAAAACUUAAGCAUAAGCAUGAUCAGGUUAUCGUGUAUUGGAGCGCUAUACGCGAGGAUCAAGAACGUAAAAUAUUGAGUGGGGUUACGUCGUUUUUACUUAGGGCGGCAGAGCCGGUAACCUAUUUCCCCAGCUACAAGAGCAAAAAAGUGAACGACAUAAAAAAAGCUUGGCGAACACCCUGUGGCCGUGUGCGUGGAAAGAAAAUAUUCAUACGUGGGAAGCCCCGCGAGUAAAUUGUUGGAACGGAAGAUGUGAAUAAUUCCUUGCAGGGAUUCCGAAGGAGAUAAGGGGAAGCGAAAGGCGGGGGUUCCAGCCGCGCCCUAUCCCUGCCGCGCCUCCCUCGCGGCGAAGAUCCAGUACGCAGCAUCCCAGCAUCCCUUAACUCCGACGGCCCUGUCAGCGUUUACAAAUCUUCCGAGCGGGUCUAUUUGCUUAUUUACUUGACCAUCGCGAAUAGUGAGUCACGCUCCGGGAUCCCUUCGAAACCCUUUUGUUUUGUGCGUGAUGUGCUCGUUUGCAGAGGAACUACUCGGUUUUGAAAAGAAUAUACUUGACUACAAUUCACUGAAACACGUGUGACUACAGUUCCGGAGAACAAUUUUUCUUCAAGAGUAUCUCGAUUCACAGUUUGUUGUAAUCGACUUCAGGUCCUUGGGAAACUCAAACCAAGGUGACAGGUGAGCACAUAUGAUAUUAAAGUCGGAAAAGAGGGAAUAGAAGAAGAAAUAUAUCAAUAAAUCUUUGAUUUCAACUUUCAAUUCAAGUAUUGGUGACUUCAAAAUUUGAUAGAAUAUUCACAAAAAUUACUAGCGCAGUUAAAACACUUGCACUAGUCCUUGAACAGCACAAUGUACAUUCAGAGUUUAGGGAGGUCGGGAAAAACGUAC
rnacentral:lncRNA from 1 species